rnacentral:tRNA from 1 species
GGGUGUAUAGCUUAGUGGUAGAGCAUUUGCUUAGCAUGCACAAGGCCCUGGGUUUGAUCCUUAGUACUGCCA